rnacentral:rRNA from 1 species
CCUAUUUUACGGUUCGCCGUAAAGUAGCUAGUGAUGUCAUACUUCCAAGAAAAGCUCAUACAUCUAUAUAAUUUAAUUACCUGUACCUGAAACCGACACAGGUAGGUUAGUAGAGAAUACUAAGGGGCGCGAGAGAACUCUCUCUAAGGAACUCGGCAAACUGGCCCCGUAACUUCGGAAGAAGGGGCGCCCUCUGCAAGGGGGGUCGCAGUGACCAGGCCCAGGCGACUGUUUACCAAAAACACAGGUCUCCGCAAAGUCGUAAGACAAAAUAUGGGGGCUGACGCCUGCCCAGUGCCGGAAGGUUAAGGAAGUUGGUUAUUAAUUUAUUAAGAAGCUGACGACCGAAGCCCCGGUGAACGGCGGCCGUAACGAUAACGGUCCUAAGGUAGCGAAAUUCAUUGUCGAGUAAGUUUCGACCUGCACGAAAGGCGUAACGAUCUGGGCGCUGUCUCGGAGAGAGGCUCGGUGAAAUAGACUUGUCCCGUGAAGAUGCGGACUACCUACACCUGGACAGAAAGACCCUAUGAAGCUUGACUGUAUCUUGGAAUUGGGUUUGGGCUUUUCUUGCGCAGUCUAGGUGGGAGGCUAUGAAGAUUACCUUCUGGGGUAAUUGGAGCCAUCAGUGAGAGACCACUCUGGAAGAGCUAGAAUCCUAAUGGGGAUCCUUGAAUCAGGACCCUUGACAGUUUCAGGUGGGCAGUUUGUUUGGGGCGAACGCCUCAUAAAAGGUAACUGAGGUGUACAAAGGUUCUCUCAGUCUGGACGGAAAUCAGACAUUGAGUGCAAAAGCAAAAGAGAGCUUGACUGCAAGACCUACAAGUCGAGCAGGGGCGAAAGCCGGUUUUAGUGAUCCGACGGUGCCGCGUGGAAGGGCCGUCGCUCAACGGAUAAAAGUUACUCUAGGAUAACAGGCUGAUCUUCCCCAAGAGUUCACAUCGACGGGAAGGUUUGGCACCUCGAUGUCGGCUCAUCACAUCCUCGGUCUGUAGUAGGUCCGAAGGGUUGGACUGUUCGCCCAUUAAAGUGGUACGUGAGCUGGGUUCAGAACGUCGUGAGACAGUUCGGUCCAUAUCCGGUGUAGGCGCUAGAGUAUUGAAGGGAGCCGUCCAUAGUACGAGAGGACCUGGAUGGACAUGCCAAUGGUGUACCAGUUAUUCUUCCAAGGGUAGACGCUGGGUAGCUAUGCAUGGCUAGAUAACUGCUGAAAGCAUCUAAGUAGGAAACUAACCCUAAGAUGAGUACUCUCUAAGGCCACGGGAAGACAAUCCGAUUGAUAGGUAUCAGGUGUAAUAUCAGCAAUGGUUUAAGCCGAGAUAUACUAAAGGCCGU